rnacentral:rRNA from 1 species
AUGCGGGACUCAUCAGAGGCCUCGCAAUUGGAAUGAGCGCACUUUAAAUCGUUCGACGAGGAUCUAUUGGAGGGCAAGUCUGGUGCCAGCAGCCGCGGUAAUUCCAGCUCCAAUAGCGUAUAUUAAAGUUGUUGCAGUUAAAAAGCUCGUAGUUGGAUCUGGGGUUCGGGUCGGCGGUUUGCCGCUUCGGCGGCUACUGCCGUGCUCGACUCUUACUAGCCGGUGCGUCUUGCGGUGCUCUUCAUCGAGUGCCGUAGGAGCCUGGCAUGUUUACUUUGAAAAAAUUAGAGUGCUCAAAGCAGGCGAUUCCGCCUGAAUAGUGUUGCAUGGAAUAAUGGAAUAGGACCUCGGUUCUAUUUUGUUGGUUUUCGGAACUUGAGGUAAUGAUUAAGAGGGACGGUCGGGGGCAUUCGUAUUUCGGUGUUAGAGGUGAAAUUCUUGGAUCGCUGAAAGACGGACAAAUGCGAAAGCAUCUGCCAAGAACGUCUCCAUUAAUCAAGAACGAAAGUCAGAGGUUCGAAGACGAUCAGACACCGUCCUAGUUCUGACCAUAAACGAUGCCAACUAGCGAUCCGCAGUGGUUGCUAUAAACGGACUCUGCGAGCAGCUUCCGGGAAACCAAAGUGUUUGGGUUCCGGGGGAAGUAUGGUUGCAAAGCUGAAACUUAAAGGAAUUGACGGAAGGGCACCACCAGGAGUGGAGCCUGCGGCUUAAUUUGACCCAACACGGGGAAACUCACCCGGUCCGGACACUGUAAGGAUUGACAGAUCGAGAGCUCUUACUUGAUUCGGUGGAUGGUGGUGCAUGGCCGUUCUUAGUUGGUGGAGUGAUUUGUCUGGUUAAUUCCGAUAUCGAACGAGACUCUAGCCUGCUAACUAGUUGCGCCGUGUUCAUACGCGGCUGUAGACUUCUUAGAGGGACAGGUGGCGUUUAGCCACACGAAAUUGAGCAAUAACAGGUCUGUGAUGCCCUUAGAUGUCCGGGGCCGCACGCGCGCUACACUGAAGGAGUCAGCGUGUGCUAUCCGGGCUCGGAAGAGUUCGGUAACCCGUUGAAACUCCUUCGUGCUUGGGAUUGUGGCUUGUAAUUAUCGCGCAUGAACGAGGAAUUCCCAGUAAGUGCAAGUCAUCAGCUUGCGCUGACUACGUCCCUGCCCUUUGUACACACCGCCCGUCGCUACUACCGAUUGAAUGGUUUAGCAAGGUACUCGGAUUGGUCUCGAUCUUGUACGAAAGUGCGGGAUCUGUGGCCGAGAAGAAGGCCAAACUUGAUCAUUUAGAGGAAGUAAA